rnacentral:lncRNA from 1 species
ACAUGAUAGCAGUUACUUUUUACUCAAGAUUUUUUUUUUUUUACUCAAGAUUAUUGAUGAAGUCCAGAAAGAUGAUUUAUUUGCCGCCUAAUUAGUGAAUGAUAGAGACAGGAUUCAAAUCCAGGAUGUCUAGCUCCAGAGCUCCUACUCUUAGCCAUGAAAGAGACAGAGCUGGUAGGAAGGAGUUUUUGGCAAUGAGGAAUAGGAUCUGAAGCUGAUGCUAACAGCCCGCUGGACAACCAGACACACAGGCAAGGCACCUUGCUCAACCCUUCAAACUCCCCAGUCGCCUUGUGAUUACCAAGGGCUUUGGCCACACCUGUCAGCUAACGGGUAUUUCUGAAACGUGGAUUCGAGUGCUGUGGCCACAUUCGUCUGGCUAGUCUAACCAUAAAUCAGCAAGCACUACAGACCAUAUAUAUGUAUAUGUUUGCUUUGAGUGGAAGCUAAACUGGUUCCCAUUCAAGGCAGGCUUUGG